UAUUACAUAGGGUUUAAUAUUAUAUCGAUUUUAUUUUAGCUCUUUAACCAUUCAAUAAUAUAUUUAAUAUAACGUAUGCAAAAAUUAGUUAUCUAUGAAGUGGGUAUUAUAAUUAUGUAACAAAGCAUUAUUAAGUUUAUUCAUUCGAAUAAAAGUUCUUGUGCGGACCAAACAUUGUAUCACUUCCAAUGGUAAAUUUGUAAUUUUGUCUUUCAGUUUGUUUGAU